GGGUUGGUGAUCGAGUGGUUAAAGAUACUAGACUUUUAAUCUAGCGCGUAAAGCUUCGUGGGUUCGAAUCCCACCCAACCCACCA
rnacentral:tRNA from 1 species